rnacentral:rRNA from 1 species
UACGAAGGGGGCUAGCGUUGUUCGGAAUCACUGGGCGUAAAGCGCACGUAGGCGGAUGUGCCAGUCAGGGGUGAAAUCCCGGGGCUCAACCUCGGAACUGCCUUUGAUACUGCAAAUCUCGAGUCCGGAAGAGGUGAGUGGAAUUCCUAGUGUAGAGGUGAAAUUCGUAGAUAUUAGGAAGAACACCAGUGGCGAAGGCGGCUCACUGGUCCGGUACUGGACGCUGAGGUGCGAAAGCGUGG